rnacentral:rRNA from 1 species
AGAGUUUGAUCCUGGCUCAGGAUGAACGCUGGCGGCGUGCUUAACACAUGCAAGUCGAACGAAGCAUUUAAGACAGAUUUUUUCGGAAUGAAGUUUUUUAUGACUGAGUGGCGGACGGGUGAGUAACGCGUGGGUAACCUGCCUCACACAGGGGGAUAGCAGUUGGAAACGACUGGUAAUACCGCAUAAGCGCACAGCUUCGCAUGAAGCGGUGUGAAAAACUCCGGUGGUGUGAGAUGGACCCGCGUCUGAUUAGGUAGUUGGUGAGGUAACGGCCCACCAAGCCGACGAUCAGUAGCCGACCUGAGAGGGUGACCGGCCACAUUGGGACUGAGACACGGCCCAGACUCCUACGGGAGGCAGCAGUGGGGAAUAUUGCACAAUGGGGGAAACCCUGAUGCAGCGACGCCGCGUGAGUGAAGAAGUAUUUCGGUAUGUAAAGCUCUAUCAGCAGGGAAGACAGUGACGGUACCUGACUAAGAAGCUCCGGCUAAAUACGUGCCAGCAGCCGCGGUAAUACGUAUGGAGCAAGCGUUAUCCGGAUUUACUGGGUGUAAAGGGAGUGUAGGUGGUAUCACAAGUCAGAAGUGAAAGCCCGGGGCUCAACCCCGGGACUGCUUUUGAAACUGUGGAACUGGAGUGCAGGAGAGGUAAGUGGAAUUCCUAGUGUAGCGGUGAAAUGCGUAGAUAUUAGGAGGAACACCAGUGGCGAAGGCGGCUUACUGGACUGUAACUGACACUGAGGCUCGAAAGCGUGGGGAGCAAACAGGAUUAGAUACCCUGGUAGUCCACGCC